CUGUGCGGCGUAUUGUCAGGAUGUGCCCGGUUAGCCGCUUACUUCGAUCAACUACGAGGACUAACCAUGGCAGAGUGUAUAGGGGGUCUGGUUCUUUUCUUUGGAUCAGGCCCCUUUAAGGGUCCGCGGACCCUUUCUGCAUUCGGGCAGUGAAGUACGCCUACUCCCUUGGAUUUGAAUGUCUGAGUUCAAAUCUCGGCUUGCUGGACUCGGUGCUGUCUCCCAUAGCGGUCGCGCAACCUUUCUCUUUGGAGAAAGCGAAGCAGGGGAGUGGUUCUGGGUUCCAGCGGGCCCCCAGAGGAACACUUUCAUGUCUUUGGUGAUUUUUACGCAGGCCAUGAUUGUGGAGUCCCCUGGGGAUGUAUUUUCGACGAUGGAACAUCAAGAAAGAAGGGGAUUACGCCGUCAAAAUCAGGAACAUAGAACUAUGGAACUAUAUUUAUGGUACAUGUAUAAGAAACGUUUUAAUAAGCCAAAUAAGUCAGAAGCCAUAGUUACAACAAAGAGAAACACAAUUAGGACAAUACGAAGCAGAACAGGGGACACUUAACAGCUCUUUCCGUCCUUUUGGGGAUUCAACAGCUAAUUUCUAUGAAGUCCCCUAUCUGUCAUGUCAUCGAACAAUCAAAGAAGAAAGCUUGCUGAUCUGAGUCAUAAAUACAAAGAAGCAAAAUCUGUCGUUGAUUCUCGCGAGACCAAAGUCAAAUUUUAUUUUUGAAUGAAACACGACUUUCUUGUUCAUUAAAAUGAAGAAAACAGUAAUGGUCCUAACCUAAAAUGUCAACAUAUACAACAUUACUUGGCAAGACAUGAAAUAAUCAGCUAUUCUACCUUAUAUGUCUCAACCUGAUGAAAAGUUCAGUUGCAGAGAGGCGGAAUGGUCGCGCUCGUAAUGGCUGAGAAGGUCUACUAUAACAACCAUAAAUUAUACUUCACAUUGUAACUAGUAAAAGGAAAAAAUCAGAUCAUGCAAAACUGAUCACGGAUCUAUAUAGGUCACUAAAGGGAAUAACCGGUCUUUGUUUUAAACAAGAGCUACAGCUAGUGGUAACCCCCUAUACCCAAAAGUUUUACAAAAUUUUCAGCAUUGUAUGCACUAUUCUUAGGUCACAUACAUUUUAUUUGCUACAGUGGUCUAUAUUUGUGUAGUCAUAAGUUUUUUUUUCAUCUGUUUAAACGUUAAAAAGACCUUUCCCAAAUGCAUAGUGUUACAUACUUUCUAAAUAGAUACAAACAUUUGGGAUGAAAUUUUCAAAGUGUUAUAUGCCACUAUAAGGAAAACGGAACAAAUAAAGCAGAAGGCUCUGUAGAAUAAUUUGCGAGGCAACACGAAUUGUUAUUUUUCAUCAGUUGAACGAGUUCCAGUGGAUUUUAAUCACUCUUGUUUAAGGCAUUUCCAAAUUACUUUCAAUCUUGUACAUUUUGCCUGUAAACGCUUCUAUAUAUAACAUCUAAUUACA
rnacentral:lncRNA from 1 species